UUUUCAUCAGACAAUCUGUGUGAGCACUGCAAAGUACGCUUCUUUAAGGUAAGGAGGUGAUCCAACCGCAGGUUCCCCUACGGUUACCUUGUUACGACUUCACCCCAGUCAUGAAUCACAAAGUGGUAAGCGCCCUCCCGAAGGUUAAGCUACCUACUUCUUUUGCAACCCACUCCCAUGGUGUGACGGGCGGUGUGUACAAGGCCCGGGAACGUAUUCACCGUGGCAUUCUGAUCCACGAUUACUAGCGAUUCCGACUUCAUGGAGUCGAGUUGCAGACUCCAAUCCGGACUACGACGCACUUUAUGAGGUCCGCUUGCUCUCGCGAGGUCGCUUCUCUUUGUAUGCGCCAUUGUAGCACGUGUGUAGCCCUGGUCGUAAGGGCCAUGAUGACUUGACGUCAUCCCCACCUUCCUCCAGUUUAUCACUGGCAGUCUCCUUUGAGUUCCCGGCCGGACCGCUGGCAACAAAGGAUAAGGGUUGCGCUCGUUGCGGGACUUAACCCAACAUUUCACAACACGAGCUGACGACAGCCAUGCAGCACCUGUCUCACGGUUCCCGAAGGCACAUUCUCAUCUCUGAAAACUUCCGUGGAUGUCAAGACCAGGUAAGGUUCUUCGCGUUGCAUCGAAUUAAACCACAUGCUCCACCGCUUGUGCGGGCCCCCGUCAAUUCAUUUGAGUUUUAACCUUGCGGCCGUACUCCCCAGGCGGUCUACUUAACGCGUUAGCUCCGGAAGCCACGCCUCAAGGGCACAACCUCCAAGUAGACAUCGUUUACGGCGUGGACUACCAGGGUAUCUAAUCCUGUUUGCUCCCCACGCUUUCGCACCUGAGCGUCAGUCUUUGUCCAGGGGGCCGCCUUCGCCACCGGUAUUCCUCCAGAUCUCUACGCAUUUCACCGCUACNNNNNNNNNNNNNNNNNNNNCUGCCAGUUUCGAAUGCAGUUCCCAGGUUGAGCCCGGGGAUUUCACAUCCGACUUGACAGACCGCCUGCGUGCGCUUUACGCCCAGUAAUUCCGAUUAACGCUUGCACCCUCCGUAUUACCGCGGCUGCUGGCACGGAGUUAGCCGGUGCUUCUUCUGCGGGUAACGUCAAUUGCUGCGGUUAUUAACCACAACACCUUCCUCCCCGCUGAAAGUACUUUACAACCCGAAGGCCUUCUUCAUACACGCGGCAUGGCUGCAUCAGGCUUGCGCCCAUUGUGCAAUAUUCCCCACUGCUGCCUCCCGUAGGAGUCUGGACCGUGUCUCAGUUCCAGUGUGGCUGGUCAUCCUCUCAGACCAGCUAGGGAUCGUCGCCUUGGUGAGCCGUUACCUCACCAACAAGCUAAUCCCAUCUGGGCACAUCUGAUGGCAAGAGGCCCGAAGGUCCCCCUCUUUGGUCUUGCGACGUUAUGCGGUAUUAGCCACCGUUUCCAGUAGUUAUCCCCCUCCAUCAGGCAGUUUCCCAGACAUUACUCACCCGUCCGCCACUCGUCAGCAAAGCAGCAAGCUGCUUCCUGUUACCGUUCGACUUGCAUGUGUUAGGCCUGCCGCCAGCGUUCAAUCUGAGCCAUGAUCAAACUCUUCAAUUUAAAAGUUUGAUGCUCAAUGAAUUAAACUUCGUAAUGAAUUACGUGUU
rnacentral:rRNA from 1 species